rnacentral:rRNA from 1 species
UGCGAAUGGCUCAUUAAAUCAGUUAUCGUUUAUUUGAUAGUACCUUACUACUUGGAUAACCGUGGUAAUUCUAGAGCUAAUACAUGCUAAAAACCCCGACUUCGGGAGGGGUGUAUUUAUUAGAUAAAAAACCAAUGCCCUUCGGGGCUCUUUGGUGAUUCAUGAUAACUUAACGGAUCGCAUGGCCUUGCGCCGGCGACGGUUCAUUCAAAUUUCUGCCCUAUCAACUUUCGAUGGUAAGGUAUUGGCUUACCAUGGUUUCAACGGGUAACGGGGAAUUAGGGUUCGAUUCCGGAGAGGGAGCCUGAGAAACGGCUACCACAUCCAAGGAAGGCAGCAGGCGCGCAAAUUACCCAAUCCCGACACGGGGAGGUAGUGACAAUAAAUACUGAUACAGGGCUCUUUUGGGUCUUGUAAUUGGAAUGAGUACAACUUAAAUCCCUUAACGAGGAACAAUUGGAGGGCAAGUCUGGUGCCAGCAGCCGCGGUAAUUCCAGCUCCAAUAGCGUAUAUUAAAGUUGUUGCAGUUAAAAAGCUCGUAGUUGAAACUUGGGCCUGGCUGGCCGGUCCGCCUCACCGCGUGUACUGGUCCGGCCGGGCCUUUCCUUCUGGAGAGCCUCAUGCCCUUCACUGGGUGUGUUGGGGAACCAGGACUUUUACUUUGAAAAAAUUAGAGUGUUCAAAGCAGGCCUUUGCUCGAAUACGUUAGCAUGGAAUAAUAGAAUAGGACGUGCGAUCCUAUUUUGUUGGUUUCUAGGACCGCCGUAAUGAUUAAUAGGGAUAGUCGGGGGCAUCAGUAUUCAAUUGUCAGAGGUGAAAUUCUUGGAUUUAUUGAAGACUAACUACUGCGAAAGCAUUUGCCAAGGAUGUUUUCAUUAAUCAGUGAACGAAAGUUAGGGGAUCGAAGACGAUCAGAUACCGUCGUAGUCUUAACCGUAAACUAUGCCGACUAGGGAUCGGGCGAUGUUAUUAUUUUGACUCGCUCGGCACCUUACGAGAAAUCAA